rnacentral:miRNA from 1 species
UGUGGUACGGUGCACCCUGAGA